UACGUAGGCAGCAAGCGUUGUUCGGAAUUACUGGGCGUAAAGAGUGUGUAGGCGGUGCUCUAAGUCUGUUGUGAAAUCUCCCGGCUUAACUGGGAGGGUGCGGCGGAAACUGGAGUGCUAGAGGGUGGGAGAGGAAAGCGGAAUUCCUGGUGUAGUGGUGAAAUACGUAGAGAUUGGGAAGAACACCAGUGGCGAAGGCGGCUAUCUGGACGGUUUCUGACACUAAGACUCGAAAGCGUGGGGAGCAAACAGG
rnacentral:rRNA from 1 species